AACGAACGCUGGCGGCAUGCCUAACACAUGCAAGUCGAACGAAGCCUUCGGGCUUAGUGGCGCACGGGUGCGUAACGCGUGGGAAUCUGCCCUUUGGUUCGGAAUAACAGUUGGAAACGACUGCUAAUACCGGAUGAUGACGAAAGUCCAAAGAUUUAUCGCCAGAGGAUGAGCCCGCGUAGGAUUAGCUAGUUGGUGUGGUAAAGGCGCACCAAGGCGACGAUCCUUAGCUGGUCUGAGAGGAUGAUCAGCCACACUGGGACUGAGACACGGCCAAGACUCCUGCGGGAGGCAGCAGUGGGGAAUAUUGGACAAUGGGCGAAAGCCUGAUCCAGCAAUGCCGCGUGAGUGAUGAAGGCCCUAGGGUUGUAAAGCUCUUUUACCCGGGAUGAUAAUGACAGUACCGGGAGAAUAAGCCCCGGCUAACUCCGUGCCAGCAGCCGCCGUAA
rnacentral:rRNA from 1 species